UUUUACAUGUUUUUCUUUUGGCCUUGAUAAUUCAUACUCUAACUCACAAGUCUAUCUCUUACUUUGUUUUUGAGAAUAUUAGUCUGGCAUAAAAAAGGAAUAUCAGUUUGCCAGUUCUUUAGUCUUUUGGAUUUGUUGAAGCCAUUAUCUCUGUAUCUUUUUGGCAUGUGGUUCCUAUUUCGACGACAAGGGAAACCCGCAACUGUACCUCUUGAUCAUAUUUUUCUGGGCCAUGAAACUGCUUAAAAUUAAAGUGUGCAUGGAUGUGCAAAGAGUACUAAAUAUAAAUUUGCCUCCAAUUCACCAAUUACAUUUUCAUUCUUUCUUCUCUUGAUUUUUAAGUGAUGAGAGUUGCUAAAAAUUUAUAUACUGGAACGCCUAAUGCGUGCUUAUAAAGAUCAACUAGAAGAAAGUAAUGCAGUACAAGAAGAAAAAGGGAUACAUUCUGUAUUCAAAUGCAGAAAUAUGGUCUGUUGAUCUGUUAUGGAUUAGGUUCAUGCAACUCUUAGUAACAGCGUGUACGUGGAAGUGUAACUCUCAAGAAAGGGAUAAAUGGCCAAGACAGUAUGAGUGAAGAGUUCUCUUACUACUUUAAACAGAAGAUAUCAAAGUAAGUGGACCUGUGGAAUAAAGACAUUUGUUACUUCUGUGGUUAAGAGUGGCUAAUAAUCACUUGCCAAAUAUCGGAUCUGUGAAGCAGAACUAGGUGUAAAAGGUGAGCUGCAUCAUUAUUGAAUUUCUCUGUUUAUUAUGAACAGGUGUCUGUAUUUUCAUUCUCACAUUAGGGAUUUGAGGUUUGUUUGGGGGUGGGGGGUGGGGAGCAGACUCAUAGAAGUGAUGAGAAACCAGUGAAAGGCAAAUGAGUGGAAAACAAAAGCUAUAGCAUUAUAUUAGCAAGCAACUUACCUAGCGAAAUUUGAGGAUAAGCUUUGUGAUUACUAUUUGGUAUAUUAGGGCUCAGGCAUAAUACUAACCUAGCGAAAUUUGAGGAUAAGCUUUGUGAUUGCAAUUAGGUAUAUCAGGCAUAAUACUAACCUAGUGAAAUUUGAGGAUAAGCUUUAUGAUUAGAAUUUGGUAUAUCAGUCUUUGCCUUGGGCAGUGAUUUCAAUCUAUCUUAAUGUUCUCUCUAUUUUCCUUUGCACAUGCGAUAUUUGUACCGUGGCAAGUGGAUCCUGAAAGCAUUGAACCAACCAGUUUCCUCAACUUCCAAAGUCUAUUUUAGUUUGCACGUAACCAUUUUGACCAAAA